CCCGGCGACCGGCGCACGGGUGAGUAACACGUAUGCAACCUGGCCGCCACAGGGGGAUAACCCGCGGAAACGCGGCCUAAUACCCCGUGACGCCACCGGAGGGCAUCCUCCGGUGGCCAAAGGAGCGAUCCGGUGGCGGAUGGGCAUGCGGCGCAUUAGCUAGACGGCGGGGUGACGGCCCACCGUGGCGACGAUGCGUAAGGGUUCUGAGAGGAAGGCCCCCCACACUGGGACUGAGACACGGCCCAGACUCCUACGGAAGGCAGCAG
rnacentral:rRNA from 1 species